rnacentral:rRNA from 1 species
UACGUAGGGCGCAAGCGUUAUCCGGAUUUAUUGGGCGUAAAGAGCUCGUAGGCGGCUCGGUAAGUCAGGUGUGAAACCUCCAGGCUCAACCUGGAGACGCCACCUGAUACUGCCGUGGCUAGAGUCCGGUAGAGGAGCGUAGAAUUCCUGGUGUAGCGGUGAAAUGCGCAGAUAUCAGGAGGAAUACCAGCGGCGAAGGCGGCGCUCUGGGCCGGUACUGACGCUGAGGAGCGAAAGCGUGGGGAGCAAACAGG